rnacentral:rRNA from 1 species
UCCUACGGGGAGGCAGCAGUAGGGAAUCUUCCGCAAUGGGCGAAAGCCUGACGGAGCAACGCCGCGUGAGUGAUGAAGGUCUUCGGAUCGUAAAACUCUGUUAUUAGGGAAGAACAAACGUGUAAGUAACUGUGCACGUCUUGACGGUACCUAAUCAGAAAGCCACGGCUAACUACGUGCCAGCAGCCGCGGUAAUACGUAGGUGGCAAGCGUUAUCCGGAAUUAUUGGGCGUAAAGCGCGCGUAGGCGGUUUUUUAAGUCUGAUGUGAAAGCCCACGGCUCAACCGUGGAGGGUCAUUGGAAACUGGAAAACUUGAGUGCAGAAGAGGAAAGUGGAAUUCCAUGUGUAGCGGUGAAAUGCGCAGAGAUAUGGAGGAACACCAGUGGCGAAGGCGACUUUCUGGUCUGUAACUGACGCUGAUGUGCGAAAGCGUGGGGAUCAAACAGGAUUAGAUACCUGGGGUAGUCC